UACGUAGGGGGCAAGCGUUGUCCGGAUUUAUUGGGCGUAAAGCGCGCGUAGGCGGCGCGGUAUGUCGUGCGUGAAAUCUCCCGGCUUAACUGGGAGGGGCCGUGCGAAACUGCCGGGCUUGAGGUCGGAAGGGGGAAAGUGGAAUUCCGGGUGUAGUGGUGGAAUACGUAGAUAUCCGGAGGAACACCAGCGGCGAAGGCGGCUUUCUGGUCCGAUACUGACGCUGAGGUGCGAAAGCGUGGGGAGCGAUCCGG
rnacentral:rRNA from 1 species